CCCAGAGGUGGAGCCUACAAAGGCAGGCAGGCCUCCUUUUGCUGUGGUGAGCUCCACCCAGUUCGAGCUUCCUGGCUGCUUUGUUGACCUGAGCAAGCCUGGGCAAUGGCGGGUGUCCCUCCCCCAGCUUAGCUGCCACCUUGCAGUUUGAUAUGAGACUGCUGUGCUAGCAAUCAGUGAGACUCCGUGGGUGUACGACCCUCCAAGCCAGGCUGGGAGCUGUGGACCGGAGCUGUUUGUAUUCGGCCAUCUUGGCUGCCCUCGUCUCUCCUUAUGAUAAAUAUUCUGUGCUGUACUUAAAGGGCACCAGAAAGAACUUGGAGAUUAGCUGCCCCAGGAUGCAGGUGCCUCUCUGGAGAAAUGGAAAUUCUCCUUGAGUUGAUGUGUUCUUAGUCUCCUCUUGGUGUCUGAGCAGUGUGGAUGGUGUGAAGCAUCAAGGGAGCCAUGGUUUACUGCCUUGCAUGACACUUUUACAAAUGGUGACUAUUCUCACGCCCCCUCUCACCCCCACACAUGCAACAACAGGACCUCAUAGGCCAGCACCUCUUCAUCACCUGAAGCCAAAUAAAUUAUUCAGCACAGUUUGUACAACAUGAAUAUUCAUUGCAUUUUGCACAGUCUUGUGUGGAAAAUAACAUAAAAAUCUGUAAACCAAAUAGAGUUUGGAUCAUGGAGUAUCCUUGAAGCACAUAUUAAAUGAAUCGAACAUAAAUGUUAAAAACCAUUAAUGCUACCCCCUAUUCAGCCAGAUCUUGAAGAUGAAGAAAAAAUAUAUCUUAAAGUGGAGCCACCAUAUUUAGCUAGGGAGUCAAAAGCAUACAAUGAUUAUUUUGAUGAAAGAGAUGUAUUGCAUGAGAAGACGGAAAGAUGUAUUUAUUAUAGAAACAAACUUUAGAGCAUAAAAAAAAGGCUUUUUUCCUUUUUUUUUUUCUCAAACUCCAUUAAAACACAACUAUUUUCCCUGUUUAUUACUGUGGCUCAUACUACUUAACUUGAGAUUAAUAAAUAGCUCCUCUACAUUGAGCACUUGCAAAUUUGCCAGGUAAUAAGUUCAGCACUUUAUAAAUGUCAUAUUUCAAAUCCUGGAAGUAAUUUUUACUUUGAGCAGUACAAAUGUAGCCUAAGUAUGACUCCUCCAUGGGAAGCAGUCGCUAUUAAUAUCACUUUUCCAAUCUGGAAGCAG
rnacentral:lncRNA from 10 species